AACGAACGCUGGCGGCAUGCCUAACACAUGCAAGUCGAACGAGACCUUCGGGUCUAGUGGCGCACGGGUGCGUAACGCGUGGGAAUCUGCCCUUGGGUUCGGAAUAACAGCGAGAAAUUGCUGCUAAUACCGGAUGAUGACGUAAGUCCAAAGAUUUAUCGCCCAAGGAUGAGCCCGCGUAGGAUUAGCUAGUUGGUGAGGUAAAGGCUCACCAAGGCGACGAUCCUUAGCUGGUCUGAGAGGAUGAUCAGCCACACUGGGACUGAGACACGGCCCAGACUCCUACGGGAGGCAGCAGUGGGGAAUAUUGGACAAUGGGCGCAAGCCUGAUCCAGCAAUGCCGCGUGAGUGAUGAAGGCCUCGGUCGUAAAGCUCUUUUACCCGGGACUGAUAAUGACAGUACCGGGAGGAAUAAGCUCCGGCUAACUCCGUGCCAGCAGCCGCGGUAAU
rnacentral:rRNA from 1 species